rnacentral:lncRNA from 1 species
GAGAAACCCUGUCUUGGAAAAAAAAAAAAAAAAAGUUGGCUGCCCAGCCCCUUUACUCCUAGGAGGAAUUUUUUGGGUUUUGGGUUUUUUUCCCCCCUUGGGGGUAGGGGUCGACUAAUUUCUGGGACCCAUUGUUUCAGUAGUCUGAUAAUACAAGGAAGGAUAGUCACACUAUUUUCUUGUUAGGUGUUUAUACAGUGUGGUCUUUUGCCUUUUGAAAGUAUGUCCUGGGUGAGCUAUCACACCCACCACACUUCAUUCACCCUCCAGGACUUGGUGGCACAGCUGUAGUUGCAAGUCCCCUAUAGGAAAAGCCUGGGAAAUGUGUAGUUCGGGCUGAGUCCACUCAGCCACAGUUUUAAUCUGGACAAGUGAAGUGCUUUAUUUAAAUAGGUUUAUUUGCUGGCUUUCACCCAAGGCGGGGUUAGCUGAGGGUUUCUGUCUACAACAUGUCUGCCAAGAAACAAACAAGAUCGUCCCUGAGGACUUGACCGCUUUUUCCCAGGUGUAUGGAGAUUGGAGUUCCUCCUUGGAGAGGAGGACCCGAAGCUUCGAGGUCCUGGGUAUCCCCACACUGCUGCCUCAGGUGGCACGCGGCUACUAGAGCUCCCGGAGGGCGGGCUGCCUGCACAAUGGGACCACGCCCACUUGGCCAGAUCCACCCUCCCGAUAGUGACUGCGCUGCGGCAGCAGUCGGAGCUUAACAGCCACGGGAUGUCGGUGCCCCAUGGACCCACCCCCGCUCCUGUCGCAGAGCCUCACACCCAGGAGCCAGGCUCGGUGAGCGUCAGGGUGGGAAGAGGGAAGCCGGGCUACUCAGCGCUCCCAAGAGCAGGGAAGAACCUACCACAGCACUUUGUCCAGUUGUUGGGUAGUGUGUGGUUUGGCGCCACUGGGACACCCCAGAGAAAAUAGGAAGGCAUCCCAAGUCCUAGUGUGAAGUAACACAGCUUUAUUCAAGUAGGCAGGCUGGAAGGACCAGAUCUCCAGUGUCCUGACUGCAGAUCCUCCUGGAGGCUUCUUAGCCCAGCGAAGGGAGCUGCCUCCUUUCCCCAAACUCCUGGUAGCUCCGGUUGACUUAGCCUCCCUCCGAAAUUGUGGUGCUCGCCAGGUACCAAGUUCUCCUUAGAGGAUUCUCCGGAUGCCCAGGCAGGGGCUUGAGAGAUUUGGGUAGAGGGGAGAUGGGAACCCAAGGUCCUUAGACCCUCUGCGUUCUCUUCGUGGCAAAAAGUGGCCCUCAGUUGGGAGACCCCGUGCCUAGGUGUGCCUGUAGUCUCAGUACCUGACUGGGGAGGCUAAGGCAGGAAGAUUUCUUGAUGUUCUGGGAAAUAUAAUUAGAGCUAUCGCCUUAACAGUUAGGAAAAGUGGAUGAGUAAGAGACAUGGCCCGGUGGCUGCAGAUCUCAGAUGGUAAGAUGGUACUGGGGGUGGGGUGGGACCUCACCUCUCCCAGAAUUUAGAGAACUGAGGUGAUAUGUGAUAUUAAUGGAAAAAGGAAAAGAAACCUAAGACUGCCAUGAAGCAGCAGUGUUUGACUACGUUAAUAAUGCUAUGAGGUGCAUGUCUUCAUUUUGCUUAUCAAGCAACAAGUUCCGCAGGUCACACAGCCAGUUUGUUCGCUCCAUGUAGUGUAGUGUAGAUUCCAUGGACUCUAUGGGGCUGAUGGGGUAAGGAGACCCAGCAUCACUCAGUGUGUGAGUCUGUCUCAUGUCAGUUUCAGCUGGAGUUUGUUGUAACGGCCUUUCUAUUAUCUCAAACCUCCACAGGCCCAUUUAGGGUAAACAAGAGACUCAUUAAAGGAUGGGAAUCCGCUCACACUGGAUUCUGCCUGUAAAGUUUUUCUGGCAGUUGCAAUGAUGUCCACACAGAUGUCAGAAGAAGAAUACAUCCAGCCUUGAGUGUGGUUUUUCUCCUAGGGUAGGAAAUGUGUGAAGUUUGUGAUAUGCCUUAUCUAGGAAGACCUUUCCCUUCCUCACAGCCUGCCUGUGGUGGUGUCUACAAGAUACUGAAAUGGACGAAGUCCACACUCCCUCCCACCCCACUCUGCCCCCAAAGGAUGAAAAAAAUAAAAUGAUUCCUAGCCUUAGUUGAAGAUUACUUUACAGCAUCCUCAUAGCCAUUCACUGCUUAGAAACAUUGAGCACCUACUGUCCGCUUGGGAACUAGAGGCUCCACAGUGAGUGAAAGGGCUUACUUACAUAGCGCUGGGGAGGGGUGGGAAGUAAUCGAGAGUAUACCAGCCAGCUGGGCAACCUGGGGUGUCAGGAAUGCCUCUAAACUCAUACCCGAAUGGUGAGCAGUCAGCUCUUAAAAGACACAGACAUACUUUCCAGAGAAAAAAAAGCAAUGGUCUCAAGGGGUUUGAACAAUAAGAAACUCCCACCAAC